rnacentral:rRNA from 1 species
CCUACGGGUGGCAGCAGUGGGGAAUAUUGCACAAUGGGCGCAAGCCUGAUGCAGCCAUGCCGCGUGUGUGAAGAAGGCCUUCGGGUCGUAAAGCACUUUCAGCGGGGAGGAAGGCGUUAAGGUUAAUAACCUUAGCGAUUGACGUUACCCGCAGAAGAAGCACCGGCUAACUCCGUGCCAGCAGCCGCGGUAAUACGGAGGGUGCAAGCGUUAAUCGGAAUUACUGGGCGUAAAGCGCACGCAGGCGGUUGAUUAAGUUAGAUGUGAAAUCCCCGGGCUUAACCUGGGAAUGGCAUCUAAGACUGGUCAGCUAGAGUCUUGUAGAGGGGGGUAGAAUUCCAUGUGUAGCGGUGAAAUGCGUAGAGAUGUGGAGGAAUACCGGUGGCGAAGGCGGCCCCCUGGACAAGGACUGACGCUCAGGUGCGAAAGCGUGGGGAGCAAACAGGAUUAGAUACCCGUGUAGUC